AUGUUUCAGGAAGCGGCCGUGCACAGCUCUCUCUACUUCCAUUUCUCUCCUGUGGAGGAGCAGGUGUUUUGUCUCCGUGGUCUGUCCCAGCCCGCUGCUCCUCUCUUGUCUCAGUGUUUCAUUUCAUGUGAUGGUUUGUUUCUAGUGAUUGUUGUUUCAUUUAGCUUCUUGUUGAAUUAUGCAUUUAUUAAGUUUAAUAAAAGUUGUGUCUUUUCUACAAGUGAGUCCGUCUCUUGCCUCGUGACGUCAUCGAACCUGUGCUGCUGCUGUUACACCUUUCCUGGAGGUGAAAUCCACCAGGGGGCGAUGUUGCAACACCUCAUUCCCCCCCGCUUCCCUCACGCGACACAUGAAAAACAAACCAAGAUGUUCCACACAAUCCACCAAGCAGUCUGUACUGGUGCUUUAACAUUUCCCCUGAAACCAGCAGUCAGUUCCUCACAUGAUCAGAACUUGAACAAGAUCAAUGUGUUUACUGACAGACCUCGAUAUGUUCUCUUGUUAGGAGACAAUCAUUGUGAUUCAUCUAUUGUCAUGUUGUGGUUCAUGUGGAUGACACUCUUGAGCAUUAGGCCCCGCCCACAGUGUUUACACCUCCUUACUGCAGAGUUGCCUAAAAACAAGAAGUAUUUCUGUGAGGCAGUGAGAUGUAGAGCAGUUUCCUUGUACGGUUCAUUUGACAGAAUGCAUCCCAUCAUUCUUCUCUUUGUCAUUUCUCUGCUUCACUCAUAUGAAGCUCGAGGCUCUGACACUGGGACUCCUGUAUUUGUGCAGAAGGGGAAGGAUCUGAUUCUAAACGUCACAGCUCCUGUGAAAUUAGUUGAAGACAGUGACCUUAAGUGGCAAUUUAAUGGUUCAAGCAUAAUAAAAUUAUUUGAUGAUAACAAAAUAAAACUAUUUGACCCCUAUAGAGGAAGGGUCAAGAUUUUUCUUCAAAAUCACUCUUUGCUUUUGAAGAAUGUGCAACAAGCCGACAGUGGAAGUUACACUGCAGUUGUUGUCGGGAAAAAUAACAAUGAUGCGGGUAAAUACAGCGUCACAGUUCAAGAUCCAGUGUCUCUGGUUACUGGGACAGUGGACUUACUCUCCUCCAGCUCCGACUCCUGUAACCUCACAGUGACCUGCAGCACACAGGACUCCCAUCACAUCAUCAGCACUUUUAGAUGUGACACCACCACCUGCAGCCAGGAGGAGGGAGGAGAGAGGUCAAAGGUCACAACCUCUGGCUCCUCCCUCCGUGUUUUCCUGUCCAAAGGCUUCUCAGUUAUCUGUAGCCAUAGCAACCAGGUCAGCUCAGACGAGCACACAACAAUGAUCAGAGACUUUUGUUUCAAACAUCCUGGUAAGUGACCGACAACACAAGCAGCUGAUAACUUUGUUUUAUAGAAGGUUGUGUUCCAACUUAAGUUCAUUUUGAAAUGUUAAAUCUUUCCCAACAUUUAAAGAUAAAGACUUUCUCCUUCAAUUGGUUCAAAAUGCUGCUGCUUGGAUUAUAACUACGACAACUUCUAGACUUCACUCUAUGUAAAAGAAAAAUCUGUGUUUAUCUGUAAUGUAAUGUCCUCUGGCAGCGACUCAGAGAACAGAACAAAUUGAUUUAGAAACUUUACCUUUUAUAGACAGAGAUAGAUAUUACAACAGGGCUCAGUGACAGGAAGAGAACAUAGAGUGAUGCUUCCUGUUACAUGUCAGUGUCUGUCUGAAAAAUGACCUGUUGAAGAAAUUCUAAAGUUGGUGAAUCACUUCCUCUCUCACAAAUAAAAUUUGUAUUAAUCAGAUGAAUGUUGCUAGAACCGAUAUGUUACAAAUCAAUAACUAAUAAUAACAUAGAAGCAGGAACAUUAUUUAUUAAACACCAAUAGUUUUGCUCACUCAAAAAACACAAAAUAAAUCCUGAAUCUUCCUGAAAUGUAACUUUCUUGGUCCAUGUUCCAUCCUUCAACCAAGUCUUGUGGAAAUCCAGUUUCUAAGUAAACCUGCUGAUCAAUAAACCAACCAACCAACAGACAGGGGGAAACACAACCUGCUGGGCCGAGGUGGUUCUGUAUCAUGAGACUCUGUUUAAUGAGUAGAAGUAAAAAUGGACAAAAACUACAGUUUAAAUCAAAGUCUCUUCUUUCUAAUAAAGUGAUGCUGUGUUGUUUCUACAGGCUCCGACACUGGGACUCCUGUAUUUGUGCAGAAGGGGAAGGAUCUGAUUCUACAUGUCACGGCUCCUGUUAAAUUAGUUGAACGGGAUAUAUUUGCAUGGAAAUUUAAAGAUUCAAACAUAUUUAGAUUAUUUGAUGAUAACAAAGCAAUAAUAACUGACCCCUAUGUUGGAAGGGUUGAGAUUUUUCGCCAAAAUCACUCUUUGCUUUUGAAGAAUGUGCAACAAAACGACAGUGGAAGUUACAUUGCAGUUGUUGUCGGGAAAAAUAACAAUGAUGCGGGUAAAUACAGCGUCACAGUUCAAGAUCCAGUGUCUCUGGUUAAUGGAACAGUGGACUUACACUCCUCCAGCUCCGACUCCUGUAACCUCACAGUGACCUGCAGCACACAGGACUCCCAUCACAUCAUCAGCACUUUUAGAUGUGAGGCCAACACCUGCAGCCAGGAGGAGGGAGGAGAGAGGUCAAAGGUCACAACCUCUGGCUCCUCCCUCCGUGUCUUCCUGUCCAAAAGCUUCUUAGUUAUCUGUAACCAUAGCAACCAGGUCAGCUCAGACGAGCACACAACAAUGAUCAGAGACUUUUGUUUCAAACAUCCUGCCCCUGAACCACAGAGCAAUAUCAUCGCCUUUGUCAAUAUGACUGUCAUCAAGGUUUUGGUGAUAAUUGCCAUGUCAGCAGCUUUUGUUGGAUAUCGUAUAAAAGGAAAACAUGAAAGUGAAGACAUGAAAAAAACUGUGUACGAAAAUGUUCAGGUCAUAAGCGUGAACACCACUUAAGGAUCAGAAUCCAUCUGAUGAAGCUGCAGCUCCUUCUCCGUCCUCCAUCUACAGCUUGAUCGAAGCUCGGUCCAUGAAAUCCACUGAGGCCAGAGACACGACUCAGCCUGAACAUAUGAAUUUAUCUUCCACAUUCUGCCUUUUGGACGAUGUCCAGUAUUAUUGUUGCCUUGAGUCAUGUAAUAUCUUCCUGUUAAAUUAGUUAAAGACAGUGAAAUUAUGAUUCAAACAUAUGAAGAGUAUUACAUGAUGACAGAACACACAUAAUUGGCCCUUAUGAUGGAAGGUCGAUAUUUUUAGUCAAAAACACUCUUUGCUUUUGAAGAAUGUGCAGCAAGCCGUCAGUAGAUGUUACACUGCAGGCGUUAUUGGGAAUGAUGACGCUUAUGUGGGUAAAUACAGCCUCAGAGUUCAAGGUAGGUUUCUUAAGAUUUUAAAUGUCGACACACAGCAGCUGCCCAACUUCUAAACCCAUUAAUGCCUGUGUCCCUCUGCCUCAGGGGUAAUUUGACAGUCAGUGCUUAGGAAUUGCAAGGAAGUGACAUCUUUAUAUAUUUCUGUGUCUAAUGUAUAUAAGUGUGUUUAGUGUUUUGCAGAUCACUGUGUGUAUUGUUUUGCAAAAAGUGUAAAGAUGACAUUGUGCUUAUAGUGGUGCGGUUCUGGGCCCAUGUUUUGCUCCUUGAGUGUAAGGUUUUGAUAAAUGUGUAAUACUUUUGAUUUUAAUAUUUAUACAAUCGAAAAAAACUGUUAUAUUUUAUUCUUAUUUUUUUAUGAAGCAAUAGAUUCAUUUUUAUAUUUAAAAUAAAAAAACAUGUCUGUCCUGCGUUUCCUCCUUUUCACCACCAGAGGGCGCUUCAACAGAAAAUAACAAUUCAUCAUAUUUCUAUUUUUAUCUAAUCUUUUCUUAUAUUAUACUAUAUUUUCUUAUCUUAUUUUACAUUUGUGAGUCCCUUAUAUUUUAUACUUGUUGUUUCAUGAACCUGUAGAUUAAAUGUACAUAUAAAAUUAGAAAAACAUGUCAGUACU